rnacentral:rRNA from 1 species
UACGUAGGGUGCAAGCGUUAUCGGAAUUACUGGGCGUAAAGCGUGCGCAGGCGGUUAUGUAAGACAGAUGUGAAAAUGCCCGGGCUUAACCUGGAACUGCAUUUGUGACUGCAUGGCUAGAGUUGGCAGAGGGGGUAGAAUUCCACGUGUAGCAGUGAAAUGCGUAGAUAUGUGGAGGAACACCGAUGGCGAAGGCAGCCCCCUGGGUCAAGACUG